ACUUUCAGAUGGGCAGACAACAGAGCAGGCCAACUGGAGAUCUCAUUCCUGCUGUUGCAAAGUGACCUGCUUGCAGCACUCACCCUGGUGUUACGUUGCUCUCACCCUAUACUUCACUGCAAUGAUUCUGUUCAUCACUGUCAUCCUCUUGGCAGUAAAAUGUCAUCACCUCUGAGGCAGACCAUGCUGUCCUGCUGACUUACAGGAUGCUGUCAUUUCAGUUAAAUUGGACCUUCACUGGAACUAAGCCACCUCAGAUUUAAAUGCAUUUGUUUGUAAUUAUUAUUUUGCUAUGCGUUUUUAUAUUAUUUUCAAUUCUCAUAAGCUAUAACUUCUUUGGGACAGGCUCAUAUCAAUGACUUGUAGACUCCAAGUACAAAGGAUCUGUAUAACAAAUAUUCCAAAAUUUUUCCCUGAAUGUAAGCUUAUGUAUACUUAAGCCAUGCUGUUGCUGUGGAUAAUGUACCCCAUUUUUAUA